rnacentral:rRNA from 1 species
CACGUAGGGGGCAAGCGUUGUCCGGAUUUAUUGGGCGUAAAGAGCUCGUAGGCGGCUCAGUAAGUCGGGUGUGAAACCUCCAGGCUCAACCUGGAGACGCCACCUGAUACUGCUGUGGCUAGAGUCCGGUAGGGGAGCGUGGAAUUCCUGGUGUAGCGGUGAAAUGCGCAGAUAUCAGGAGGAACACCAGCGGCGAAGGCGGCGCUCUGGGCCGGAACUGACGCUGAGGAGCGAAAGCCAGGGGAGCAAACGGG